AUUGAACGCUGGCGGCAGGCCUAACACAUGCAAGUCGAACGCGUGGCGGACGGGUGAGUCAUGUCUGUGACACUGCCUGAUGGAGGGGGAUAACUCCUGGAAACGGUAGCUAAUCCCGCAUACCAUUGGAUGUUCCCUGAUGGGAGUAGCUAGUAGGUGGGGUAACGGCUCACCUAGGCGACGAUCCCUAGCUGGUCUGAGAGGAUGACCGGCCACACUGGAACUGAGACACGGUCCAGACUCCUACGGGAGGAAGCAGUGGGGAAUAUUGCACAAUGGGCGCAAGCCUGAUGCAGCCAUGCCGCGUGUAUGAAGAAGGCCUUCGGGUUGUAAAGUACUUUCAGCAGGGAGGCGGUACCCGAAGAAGAAGCACCGGCUAACUCCGUGCCAGCAGCCGCGGUAAUUA
rnacentral:rRNA from 1 species